rnacentral:rRNA from 1 species
CCUACGGGUGGCAGCAGUGGGGAAUAUUGGUCAAUGGACGAGAGUCUGAACCAGCCAAGUAGCGUGAAGGAUGACUGCCCUAUGGGUUGUAAACUUCUUUUAUAAAGGAAUAAAACGAGGCACGUGUGCCUUUUUGCAUGUACUUUAUGAAUAAGGAUCGGCUAACUCCGUGCCAGCAGCCGCGGUAAUACGGAGGAUCCGGGCGUUAUCCGGAUUUAUUGGGUUUAAGGGGAGCGUAGAUGGGUUGUUAAGUCAGUGGUGAAAGUUCGCGGCUCAACCGUAGAAUUGCAGUUGAUACUGGCAGUCUGGAGUACAGUGGAGGUAGGCGGAAUUCGUGGUGUAGCGGUGAAAUGCUUAGAUAUCACGAAGAACCCCGAUGGCGAAGGCAGCUUACUAAACUGUGACUGACACUGAGGCUCGAAAGUGUGGGUAUCAAACAGGAUUAGAUACCCGGGUAAUC